CAACUUUUGACAACGGAUCACUUGGUUCUCCCAUCGAUGAAGAACGCAGCAAACUGCGAUAAGUAAUGUGAAUUGCAGAACAGUGAAUCAUCGAAUCUUUGAACGCAUCUUGCGCCCAUUGGUAUUCCAAUGGGCAUGCCUGUUUGAGUGCUGCAA
rnacentral:rRNA from 1 species